AGUGCCCUGCUGUGUUCGUGUAAGCCCGGAUGUUUUGAGCCAACACAUACACUAUGGGAGCCUAACUCUGAUUAUGGCAUGUAUGCCCCAUACUCUUUUGGGGGACACAUAAAGUAAUCAGGAGGGCACCCACCUGCCGGGGGCAGGUUCAAAACAACGGCAAUACGGCAUGGUGGGGACUUA
rnacentral:other from 20 species